rnacentral:miRNA from 1 species
UUCGUCCGAGCCAUAUCAAAUUAAAAAUGUAUAUUUGUGGAUGGAGGUACAAUAUAGCAAAUAUAAUUCUAGGUUCAAUAAGCAUAUUAUGAUCUAGCCUCAUGUGA